GGCGAGUGAGGGGGCCGGCGGCGGGUGGAAGGAAGGAGGGAUCAAGAUGGCUGCGGCGGCGCGGGCGGCCCUUACCUGUUUUCUCCUUGAUCUCGCAGAGGACACUGAACAAGGCGGGUUUCAUCCUGUGGCAGUUCACAGUAUCUUGUCAGGUUUGUAAUUCAUCUGCCGCCCACUUCGGGGGACAAGAAAAGAAAGAAAGAGGAAAAGUUGCGCUGCAAGGGACUGAGGGACGGACAGACAGCGGCUGCGGGGCCGGUGUCCACCGGACAGCGUCCAACGGGAACGGGCAGGGACCAGCCACAGCCUCCCGAGCGACGGCAUAAGCAUCGCGCUUUGGUCAGUGAUGGUCAUGAUCUGAUGGAGGAUAUCGCCGAUGUCCUGCUUCCUGCCGUCGCCGUCCGCCCCGUCGUGUCCGUGGGGAGGCGGCAGGGCCAUGCCCCCCUGCACCGAGUGCCCGGCCAGGUUGAC